rnacentral:rRNA from 1 species
UUGACCUAGGAUCAGGUAGGGAUACCCGCUGAACUUAA